CGACGAUUUUGUUCGUCAUUAAAACAGUAGUUGUCGUAAAACAAGACAAUAGUUUGGCAGGAUGUUCAACUACCGGUCGUUGGAACGAGCCAAAUAUUCACGUUAGCUUGGAUAUGUAGUCAGAACCACUGAUAAACCGAGUCCAAUGAAAAUCCAGGUCGAGGAAUUACUUACCCAGAAUGCACUUCGGUAGCGCGCCUCUCUUUAGCUAAAAAAAAAAAAAAAAAGACGCUAAAUGUUCCUAAUCUUCGUGUUUCUUCAGAUUCAACAAACGAAUAUGGAUUAAAAACACGGGAAUAUUUUGACAGAAGAGGAAAAUACCUGCCCUUCCAUUUGUGACACGUCCCAAUCGGAGCAGGGCUGUGAGGGAAUGAUGCUACCGAGUGGUGGGGGGGGUGCUGUCCUCUGACAGGAAUAGCGACAUGAUGAGGCUAAUUAAGACAUGGCAGCCCGACGUGUUAAUGAGCUCCCUCAUUAGGCAGCAGUUCUUCCUCGUUAGGCGAAGAGGCGGAGGAGCGACGGAGUGAGCUCCUUCACGGGAGCUCCUGCUGCGUUUGCCGUCCCCACACGGCGAAUGAGGUAUUAUCCUCGGAGAUGGGAAAAAUUUGAGUUGAGGAUUGGGUUUUUUUUUUUUUUUUUUUUUCUUCCUGAAGCCUAUUUUAGUUCAGCUGAAGACGACGCUUAUUUGUGAACUGCGAGUGUCUCUUAGUAUCCUAAAAUUGUGCAGACCUGUCAGCAUUUCGAAAAAGUCUCAAGAAUCCACACUCGAAACUAUACAGGAAGUCUGCCCUUUUGGCGUUCAGGCGGCCAUUUUUGGUUUGUUUUCGCUACAAGGCAGAAUCACCUUAAUUUCACGUUUUUCUGGUGUGCCUCAUUUGGGAGACACUAAAAUCCUGAUUUCACCACACUUUGGUGUUUUAUCAAAUACACGAGAGCUGUUUCCCUCCAGCUAGCGUACCUUACCUUGUCUCACAUCACAUUAAAACGGUCAAAAGACCUGAUCCGAAGAUGCAAAAGUAAACCGGUAAACCACAUCUCCUCUUGCGGUUCACAUUGGCGGGACGAGGUUAAUUCAAUUAAUCGUCUGUUGGCGUUCUGCUUUUGUGGCUAGCGUAAACCUCAUCUGUCCGUGAAGGGAUUUUGCUUGUUUUGUGGCCUGGUUCUGCUACCAUCUUUUACCAUCGCCGAAUGACACAAACUGCGUCUCUGUCGUUGCCGAAGGUUUUAAUUAUGGCUGGAAAUAGCUCCCGCAGCCAUAUGGCGGCAAACUCCGGACAUAUGUGCCGAAUAGACGCCUUCCGUUCCGAUGGAGGAGCCAGUUUUGCACUUUCUUGCAAAUACGAGAACGCCCCCACCCCGCAAAAAAAAAAAAGAAAAAAAAACAGAAAGACACCUGAAUGCUCCCCCUAUCGCCCGCCUACACAAUUGUCCCACUUCACACCUUGGGUUCUGCCAUCUGCUUCAACUAUUAGCAAAAGCUCCACUCCGACUUUUAAUGUGCCAAAUUGGCUUUUUUUUUUUUUUUUUUGCACAUUAGGGGCACAUGUAAAAAUGUCUUAAACCCUCACAAUUUGUUUGGUUACACAUUCGCGUUUUGUCAUUACUCUGCGUGUUCUUGUCUCCUUCCUUCAGGUCAGUAUCGGUCAGACUUCAAUCGCCACGGCAACGGAUUAGUGCACAACAAACACCUUCCUCCGAGGUGACGUCGAUGUCCUCGGAGCUGGUCUGCUUGGUGGCCACGCGCCACCGGUUGAUGUGGUGGUUGCCCUUCUUCU